GAUGAAGAACGCAGCGAAAUGCGAUACGUAAUGUGAAUUGCAGAAUUCAGUGAAUCAUCGAGUCUUUGAACGCACAUUGCGCCCCCUGGUAUUCCGGGGGGCAUGCCUGUCCGAGCGUCAUUACUGCCCUCAAGCCCGGCUUGUGUGUUGGGCCCCGUCCUCCGAUCCCGGGGGACGGGCCCGAAAGGCAGCGGCGGCACCGCGUCCGGUCCUCGAGCGUAUGGGGCUUUGUCACCCGCUCUGUAGGCCCGGCCGGCGCUUGCCGAUCAACCCCAAUUUUUAUAGGUUGACCUCGGAUCAGGUAGGGAUACCCGCUGAACUUAAGCAUAUCAAUAAGCGGAGGA
rnacentral:misc_RNA from 1 species